GGUAAACGCUGGCGGCGUGCCUAAAACAUGCAAGUCGAACGGGUCUCGUCUUUCGGGACGGGGCCAGUGGCAGACGGCUGAGUAACGCGUGGGUGACGUACCUGUUGGUGGGGAAUAACUGCCCGAAAGGGUGGCUAAUUCCGCAUACGCUCGAUCGUCCAUUGGCGAUGGUCGAGGAAAGUCGGGUGGGUAAUGCCUCCGAUGCCGAUGGAGCGGCCCGCGUUCGAUUAGCUGGUUGGUGGGGUAACGGCCACCAAGGCGACGAUCGAUAGCUGGUCUCAGAGGAUGAUCAGCCAGACUGGGACUGAGACACGGCCCAGACUCCUACGGGAGGCAGCAGUUAGGAAUUUUGGGCAAUGGGCGCAAGCCUGACCCAGCAACGCCGCGUGGGUGACGAAGGCCUCGGUUGUAAGUA
rnacentral:rRNA from 1 species